CCUACGGGUGGCAGCAGUGAGGAAUAUUGCUCAAUGGGCGCGAGCCUGAUCCAGCCAAGCAGCGUGAAGGAUGACUGCCCUACGGGUUGUAAACUUCUUUUAUAAAGGAAUAAAGUGAGGCACGUGUGCCUUUUUGUAUGUACUUUAUCAAUAAGGAUCGGCUAACUCCGGGCCAGCAGCCGCGGUAAUACGGAGGAUCCGAGCGUUAUCCGGAUUUGUUGGGUUUAAAGUGAGCGUAGAUGGGUUGUUAAGUCAGUUGUGAAAGUUUGCGGCUCAACCGUAAAAUUGCAAUUGAUACUGGCAGUCUUGAGUACAGUAGAGGUAGGCGGAAUUCGUGGUGUAGCGGUGAAAUGCGUAGAUAUCACGAAGAACUCCGAUUGCGAAGGCAGCUUACUAGACUGACACUGACAUUGAUGCGCGAAAGUGUGGGGAUCAAACAGGAUUAGAUACCCCAGUAGUC
rnacentral:rRNA from 1 species